AUGCCAGAACAGAUGUACCGAGGAUUCUAUUUGCCUAAUGCACACUUGACAAAAGUAGUUGUUCUGCCAGCCACGUCAUUGCAUCACAAUCUGUCGAGGUGGAGUAGCCAGGUGAAAAUUUUCAGCUGCCCAAGUGUCCCAGAACAAACUUUUGAAGGUCGUCUUGCAGGAACCAUUGAACUGAGCCCUAUAAGCCGAUGUUGUUGUGUAUUGCCCGCUGGCCUCAAGAUUCCAUCUGAUCUCAUCUUGCACCCCCUGCCUAAGGUUGCCCACUGCCCCUCUAAUUUUUCUAGCCAUCAUCAGGAAGUCAUUUUGAUCAAAAAGAAAAAAACAUCAGGAAUUCAUGAAGAAAGUAUGAUGUGUUUCCAUGGGCAAGAUCAUUAA
rnacentral:rRNA from 1 species